UGUUGCAGUUAAAAAGCUCGUAG
rnacentral:siRNA from 1 species